CCUGUUGCAGGUAGCCAUGAAACCCUAAUUUCUGAUUAAAUCCAGAUGAACACUCUGAUAGCUUUGAAUCCUUCACUGAUGAACUGAGGACCAUAAUAAGAUACUUGGACCCCCCUGAGACCCUUGAGACUUGUAUACUUAGAAAAUGAAGUCCAAUUCUCAAUCUUGCUUUGUGUGGGCUCCUUCUGUUAAGGAGUGAUCGAUCAAAACCUGAUCUCCAUGUCACUAAUGCAGUAUGCAAUGAGUAUGACCUAAUAUGAUGCUAAUGAAGUGUAAAACAUAAUCCCAUGCUUCCAGGAAAAAUGAAGGGUAAAUUUUGGGAUAUUACA
rnacentral:lncRNA from 1 species